rnacentral:tmRNA from 1 species
GGGGAUGCAUUGCAUCGACAAGAAAGCACAUUUAAAAAUUGCAAGCCGACCUUGAUUAAAAGUCGUUAAAAAGAAUCAAACUAUAAAUGCUGGUGUAAACCGCACAGAGAGACUCUUAGCUGAAGCGCAAGCAAUGCUUGGAUUCUCUGAUCAAAGAGCUUUUGCAUACGCACAGGCCUAAGAUCUGUUCAUAAUGUCUUUUCUCAACGGGAUAGUAUGAGCACAAACACAGUUGAGAUAGGGUAAGGAAGACUGGUUUUUGUCCUUAUUUCAUAUUUAUAAACCUAGGUUGUAUCUAUUCCUUCCGAUUGGAAAAGGAUACGAUGACACAAAAAAAUCGGAUAAGCUUGUAGAAGUUUUUAAAAGUAAUUCUUGGACUCCGGAUCGCUUCCGGACAUCUCCACCA